rnacentral:snRNA from 1 species
ACUCAUACCUGGCAGGGAAGAUACCAUGAUAAUGAAAGUGGUUUUCCCAGGGUGAGGCUCAUCCAUUGCACUUUGGGCGUGCUGAUCCCUGUGAUUUCCCCAAAUGUGGGGAAAUCAACUGCAUAAUUUGUGGUAGUGGGAGACUUUGUGCUUUCCACUGGUCUUUC